UAAAUACUCCCUCCGUCCGGAAAUACUUGUCCGAAAAAUGGAUGCAUGUAGAUGUAUUUUAGUUCUAAAUACAUCCAUUUGUAUCCAUUUUCACAUAAGUAUUUCCGGACGGAGGGAGUACAAG
rfam:Triticum aestivum genome assembly, contig: Triticum_aestivum_CS42_TGACv1_scaffold_222693_3B